AGAGUUUGAUCCUGGCUCAGAACGAACGCUGGCGGCGUGCCUAACACAUGCAAGUCGAACGGAUUUGAGGGGCUUGCUCCUCAAGUUAGUGGCGCACGGGUGAGUAACGCGUAGAUAAUCUGCCUGAUGAUUCGGGAUAACACUUCGAAAGGGGUGCUAAUACCGGAUAAGCCCACGUGGUCUUUGGAUCGUGCGGGAAAAGGGGGGGACCUUCGGGCCUUCUGUCAUCAGAUGAGUCUGCGUACCAUUAGCUAGUUGGUAGGGUAAUGGCCUACCAAGGCUACGAUGGUUAGCUGGUUUGAGAGAAUGAUCAGCCACACUGGAACUGAGACACGGUCCAGACUCCUACGGGAGGCAGCAGUGGGGAAUUUUGCGCAAUGGGCGAAAGCCUGACGCAGCAACGCCGCGUGAGUGAUGAAGGCUUUCGGGUCGUAAAGCUCUGUCGAGGGGAAAGAAGUGUACGGGGGCUAAUAUCCUCUGUACUUGACGGUACCCCUAAAGGAAGCACCGGCCAACUCUGUGCCAGCAGCCGCGGUAAUACAGAGGUGGCGAGCGUUGUUCGGAUUUACUGGGCGUAAAGGGUGCGUAGGUGGUCGCCUAUGUCGGAUGUGAAAGCCCACGGCUUAACCGUGGAAGGUCAUUCGAAACUGGGCGACCUGAGUGCAGGAGGGAGAGCGGAAUUCUUGGUGUAGCGGUGAAAUGCGUUGAUAUCAAGAAGAACACCGGUGGCGAAGGCGGCUCUCUGGAAUGCAACUGACACUGAGGCACGAAAGCUGGGGGAGCAAACAGGAUUAGAUACCCUGGUAGUCCCAGCUGUAAACGGUGCGCACUUGGUGUGGGAGGAAUUGACCCCUCCCGUGCCGGAGCUAACGCGUUAAGUGCGCCGCCUGGGGAGUACGGUCGCAAGACUAAAACUCAAAGAAAUUGACGGGGGCCCGCACAAGCGGAGGAGCAUGUGGCUCAAUUCGAUGCAACGCGAAGAACCUUACCAGGACUUGACAUGCAGCUGCACGUCCCGUGAAAGCGGGAUUCCUUCGAGGGUGCUGCACAGGUGCUGCAUGGCUGUCGUCAGUUCGUGCCGUGAGGUGUUGGGUUAAGUCCCGCAACGAACGCAACCCCUGUGUUUAGUUGCCACCAGGUAAUGCUGGGCACUCUAAACAGACUGCCUGUACAAAGCAGGAGGAAGGUGGGGACGACGUCAAGUCAGUAUGGCCCUUACGUCCUGGGCUGCACACGUGCUACAAUGGCCGGCACAGAGGGACGCAAUACCGCGAGGUGGAGCAAAUCCUCAAAACCGGCCCCAGUUCGGAUUGAAGGCUGAAACUCGCCUUCAUGAAGCCGGAUUCGCUAGUAAUGGCGCAUCAGCUACGGCGCCGUGAAUACGUUCCCGGGCCUUGCACACACCGCCCGUC
rnacentral:rRNA from 1 species